GGUUAAGCGACUAAGCGUACACGGUGGAUGCCCUGGCAGUCAGAGGCGAUGAAGGACGUGCUAAUCUGCGAAAAGCGCCGGCGAGGUGAUAUGAACCUUUGACCCGGCGAUGUCCGAAUGGGGAAACCCAGUGUGUUCCGACACACUAUCGUUAACUGAAUACAUAGGUUAACGAGGCAAACCGGGGGAACUGAAACAUCUAAGUACCCCGAGGAAAAGAAAUCAACCGAGAUUCCCCCAGUAGCGGCGAGCGAACGGGGAGCAGCCCAGAGUCUGAAUCAGCUUGUGUGUUAGUGGAAGCGUCUGGAAAGUCGCACGGUACAGGGUGACAGUCCCGUACACGAAAGCACACAGGCUGUGAACUCGAAGAGUAGGGCGGGACACGUGGUAUCCUGUCUGAAUAUGGGGGGACCAUCCUCCAAGGCUAAAUACUCCUGACUGACCGAUAGUGAACCAGUACCGUGAGGGAAAGGCGAAAAGAACCCCGGCGAGGGGAGUGAAAAAGAACCUGAAACCGUGUACGUACAAGCAGUGGGAGCCUCUUUUAUGGGGUGACUGCGUACCUUUUGUAUAAUGGGUCAGCGACUUAUAUUCUGUAGCAAGGUUAACCGUAUAGGGGAGCCGAAGGGAAACCGAGUCUUAACUGGGCGUUAAGUUGCAGGGUAUAGACCCGAAACCCGGUGAUCUAGCCAUGGGCAGGUUGAAGGUUGGGUAACACUAACUGGAGGACCGAACCGACUAAUGUUGAAAAAUUAGCGGAUGACUUGUGGCUGGGGGUGAAAGGCCAAUCAAACCGGGAGAUAGCUGGUUCUCCCCGAAAGCUAUUUAGGUAGCGCCUCGUGAAUUCAUCUUCGGGGGUAGAGCACUGUUUCGGCUAGGGGGCCAUCCCGGCUUACCAACCCGAUGCAAACUACGAAUACCGAAGAAUGUUAUCACGGGAGACACACGGCGGGUGCUAACGUCCGUCGUGAAGAGGGAAACAACCCAGACCGCCAGCUAAGGUCCCAAAGUCAUGGUUAAGUGGGAAACGAUGUGGGAAGGCACAGACAGCCAGGAUGUUGGCUUAGAAGCAGCCAUCAUUUAAAGAAAGCGUAAUAGCUCACUGGUCGAGUCGGCCUGCGCGGAAGAUGUAACGGGGCUAAACCAUGCACCGAAGCUGCGGCAGCGACACUAUGUGUUGUUGGGUAGGGGAGCGUUCUGUAAGCCGUUGAAGGUGUCCUGUGAGGGGUGCUGGAGGUAUCAGAAGUGCGAAUGCUGACAUAAGUAACGAUAAAGCGGGUGAAAAGCCCGCUCGCCGGAAGACCAAGGGUUCCUGUCCAACGUUAAUCGGGGCAGGGUGAGUCGACCCCUAAGGCGAGGCCGAAAGGCGUAGUCGAUGGGAAACAGGUUAAUAUUCCUGUACUUGGUGUUACUGCGAAGGGGGGACGGAGAAGGCUAUGUUAGCCGGGCGACGGUUGUCCCGGUUUAAGCAUGUAGGCGGAACGAUUAGGUAAAUCCGGUCGUUUAUUAACGCUGAGGUGUGAUGACGAGGCACUACGGUGCUGAAGUAACAAAUGCCCUGCUUCCAGGAAAAGCCUCUAAGCAUCAGGUAACACGAAAUCGUACCCCAAACCGACACAGGUGGUCAGGUAGAGAAUACCAAGGCGCUUGAGAGAACUCGGGUGAAGGAACUAGGCAAAAUGGUGCCGUAACUUCGGGAGAAGGCACGCUGAUAUGUAGGUGAAGCCCCUGCGGGUGGAGCUGAAAUCAGUCGAAGAUACCAGCUGGCUGCAACUGUUUAUUAAAAACACAGCACUGUGCAAACACGAAAGUGGACGUAUACGGUGUGACGCCUGCCCGGUGCCGGAAGGUUAAUUGAUGGGGUUAGCGGUAACGCGAAGCUCUUGAUCGAAGCCCCGGUAAACGGCGGCCGUAACUAUAACGGUCCUAAGGUAGCGAAAUUCCUUGUCGGGUAAGUUCCGACCUGCACGAAUGGCGUAAUGAUGGCCAGGCUGUCUCCACCCGAGACUCAGUGAAAUUGAACUCGCUGUGAAGAUGCAGUGUACCCGCGGCAAGACGGAAAGACCCCGUGAACCUUUACUAUAGCUUGACACUGAACACUGGUCCUUGAUGUGUAGGAUAGGUGGGAGGCUUUGAAGCGUGGACGCCAGUCUGCGUGGAGCCAACCUUGAAAUACCACCCUUUAAUGGCUGGUGUUCUAACGUAGACCCGUAAUCCGGGUUGCGGACAGUGUCUGGUGGGUAGUUUGACUGGGGCGGUCUCCUCCCAAAGAGUAACGGAGGAGCACGAAGGUUAGCUAAUCCUGGUCGGACAUCAGGAGGUUAGUGCAAUGGCAUAAGCUAGCUUGACUGCGAGAGUGACGGCUCGAGCAGGUGCGAAAGCAGGUCAUAGUGAUCCGGUGGUUCUGAAUGGAAGGGCCAUCGCUCAACGGAUAAAAGGUACUCCGGGGAUAACAGGCUGAUACCGCCCAAGAGUUCAUAUCGACGGCGGUGUUUGGCACCUCGAUGUCGGCUCAUCACAUCCUGGGGCUGAAGUAGGUCCCAAGGGUAUGGCUGUUCGCCAUUUAAAGUGGUACGCGAGCUGGGUUUAGAACGUCGUGAGACAGUUCGGUCCCUAUCUGCCGUGGGCGCUGGAGAAUUGAGGGGGGCUGCUCCUAGUACGAGAGGACCGGAGUGGACGCAUCACUGGUGUUCGGGUUGUCAUGCCAAUGGCACUGCCCGGUAGCUAAAUGCGGAAGAGAUAAGUGCUGAAAGCAUCUAAGCACGAAACUUGCCCCGAGAUGAGUUCUCCCUGAGACUUUAAGUCUCCUGAAGGAACGUUGAAGACUACGACGUUGAUAGGUCGGGUGUGUAAGCGCAGCGAUGCGUUGAGCUAACCGAUACUAAUGAACCGUGAGGCUUAACCUU
rnacentral:rRNA from 1 species